rnacentral:rRNA from 1 species
GACGAACGCUGGCGGCGUGCUUAACACAUGCAAGUCGAACGGAAAGGCCCUGCUUUUGUGGGGUGCUCGAGUGGCGAACGGGUGAGUAACACGUGAGUAACCUGCCCUUGACUUUGGGAUAACUUCAGGAAACUGGGGCUAAUACCGGAUAGGAGCUCCUGCUGCAUGGUGGGGGUUGGAAAGUUUCGGCGGUUGGGGAUGGACUCGCAGCUUAUCAGCUUGUUGGUGGGGUAGUGGCUUACCAAGGCUUUGACGGGUAGCCGGCCUGCGAGGGUGACCGGCCACAUUGGGACUGAGAUACGGCCCAGACUCCUACGGGAGGCAGCAGUGGAGAAUAUUGCACAAUGGGCGGAAGCCUGAUGCAGCAACGCCGCGUGCGGGAUGACGGCCUUCGGGUUGUAAACCGCUUUCGCCUGUGACGAAGCGUGAGUGACGGUAAUGGGUAAAGAAGCACCGGCUAACUACGUG